rnacentral:rRNA from 1 species
GACGAACGCUGGCGGCGUGCUUAACACAUGCAAGUCGAACGGAAAGGCCCUGCUUUUGUGGGGUGCUCGAGUGGCGAACGGGUGAGUAACACGUGAGUAACCUGCCCUUGACUUUGGGAUAACUUCAGGAAACUGGGGCUAAUACCGGAUAGGAGCUCCUGCUGCAUGGUGGGGGUUGGAAAGUUUCGGCGGUUGGGGAUGGACUCGCAGCUUAUCAGCUUGUUGGUGGGGUAGUGGCUUACCAAGGCUUUGACGGGUAGCCGGCCUGAGAGGGUGACCGGCCACAAUGGUACUGAGAUACGGCGCAGACUCCUACGGUACGCAGUAGGGGGAAAUAUGACGCAAUGGGCGGAAGCCAGAGGCAGCAACGCUGCGUGCGUGAUGACGUCUUUCUAGUUGUGAACCGCUGUCGCCGGUGACGAGGCGUGAGUGACGGUAAUUAAUAAAGAAGCACCGGCUAACUACGUG